rnacentral:tRNA from 1 species
GGAGCGUAGAGCAAAUAUUGGUUCGUUGCGCUUACCUGCUAAGUAAGUUUACCGUUUUGGUAAUGAAGGUUCAAUUCCUUUGCUCUCCGC